rnacentral:rRNA from 1 species
AAACUUUCAACAACGGAUCUCUUGGCUCUGGCAUCGAUGAAGAACGCAGCGAAAUGCGAUAAGUAAUGUGAAUUGCAGAAUUUAGUGAAUCAUCGAAUCUUUGAACGCACAUUGCGCCCCUGGGUACUCCUAGGGGCAUGCCUGUUCGAGCGUCAUAACAACCCGUCGAGCCGACUAGGCUUGGUCUUGG